AUGAACGCUAGCGACAGGCUUAACACAUGCAAGUCGAGGGGCAGCACAGGUAGCAAUACCGGGUGGCGACCGGCGCACGGGUGAGUAACGCGUAUGCAACUUACCUAUCAGAGGGGGAUAACCCGGCGAAAGUCGGACUAAUACCGCAUGAAGCAGGGGCCCCGCAUGGGGAUAUUUGCUAAAGAUUCAUCGCUGAUAGAUAGGCAUGCGUUCCAUUAGGCAGUUGGCGGGGUAACGGCCCACCAAGCCGACGAUGGAUAGGGGUUCUGAGAGGAAGGUCCCCCACAUUGGUACUGAGACACGGACCAAACUCCUACGGGAGGCAGCAGUGAGGAAUAUUGGUCAAUGGCCGAGAGGCUGAACCAGCCAAGUCGCGUGAGGGAUGAAGGUUCUAUGGAUCGUAAACCUCUUUUAUAAGGGAAUAAAGUGCGGGACGUGUCCCGUUUUGUAUGUACCUUAUGAAUAAGGAUCGGCUAACUCCGUGCCAGCAGCCGCGGUAAUACGGAGGAUCCGAGCGUUAUCCGGAUUUAUUGGGUUUAAAGGGUGCGUAGGCGGCCUUUUAAGUCAGCGGUGAAAGUCUGUGGCUCAACCAUAGAAUUGCCGUUGAAACUGGGGGGCUUGAGUAUGUUUGAGGCAGGCGGAAUGCGUGGUGUAGCGGUGAAAUGCAUAGAUAUCACGCAGAACCCCGAUUGCGAAGGCAGCCUGCCAAGCCAUGACUGACGCUGAUGCACGAAAGCGUGGGGAUCAAACAGGAUUAGAUACCCUGGUAGUCCACGCAGUAAACGAUGAUCACUAGCUGUUUGCGAUACACUGUAAGCGGCACAGCGAAAGCGUUAAGUGAUCCACCUGGGGAGUACGCCGGCAACGGUGAAACUCAAAGGAAUUGACGGGGGCCCGCACAAGCGGAGGAACAUGUGGUUUAAUUCGAUGAUACGCGAGGAACCUUACCCGGGUUUGAACGCAUUCGGACCGAGGUGGAAACACCUUUUCUAGCAAUAGCCGUUUGCGAGGUGCUGCAUGGUUGUCGUCAGCUCGUGCCGUGAGGUGUCGGCUUAAGUGCCAUAACGAGCGCAACCCUUGCCACUAGUUACUAACAGGUAAAGCUGAGGACUCUGGUGGGACUGCCAGUGUAAGCUGCGAGGAAGGCGGGGAUGACGUCAAAUCAGCACGGCCCUUACAUCCGGGGCGACACACGUGUUACAAUGGCGUGGACAAAGGGAAGCCACCUGGCGACAGGGAGCGAAUCCCCAAACCACGUCUCAGUUCGGAUCGGAGUCUGCAACCCGACUCCGUGAAGCUGGAUUCGCUAGUAAUCGCGCAUCAGCCAUGGCGCGGUGAAUACGUUCCCGGGCCUUGUACACACCGCCCGUCAAGCCAUGGGAGCCGGGGGUACCUGAAGUCCGUAACCGCGAGGAUCGGCCUAGGGUAAAACUGGUGACUGGGGCU
rnacentral:rRNA from 1 species